rnacentral:rRNA from 1 species
UACGAAGGGGGCUAGCGUUGCUCGGAAUGACUGGGCGUAAAGGGCGCGUAGGCGGCGAUCAAGGUCAGAUGUGAAAUUCCUGGGCUUAACCUGGGGCUGCAUUUGAUACGUGGUGGCUUGAGUGCGGAAGAGGGUCGUGGAAUUCCCAGUGUAGAGGUGAAAUUCGUAGAUAUUGGGAAGAACACCGGUGGCGAAGGCGGCGACCUGGUCCGUGACUGACGCUGAGGCGCGAAAGCGUGGGGAGCAAACAGG